UGCGAAGGGUGCAAGCGUUAUUCGGAAUUACUGGGCGUAAAGCGUGCGUAGGCGGUUUGUUAAGUCUGUUGUGAAAUCCCCGGGCUCAACCUGGGAAUGGCAAUGGAUACUGGCAGGCUAGAGUGUGUCAGAGGAUGGUGGAAUUCCCGGUGUAGCGGUGAAAUGCGUAGAGAUCGGGAGGAACAUCAGUGGCGAAGGCGGCCUGCUGGGACAAGACUGACGCUGAGGCACGAAAGCGUGGGGAGCAAACAGG
rnacentral:rRNA from 1 species